UGGGGAAUUUUGGACAAUGGGCGCAAGCCUGAUCCAGCCAUGCCGCGUGCGGGAAGAAGGCCUUCGGGUUGUAAACCGCUUUUGUCAGGGAAGAAAUCUUCUGAGUUAAUACCUCGGGAGGAUGACGGUACCUGAAGAAUAAGCACCGGCUAACUACGUGCCAGCAGCCGCGGUAAUACGUAGGGUGCAAGCGUUAAUCGGAAUUACUGGGCGUAAAGCGUGCGCAGGCGGUUUUGUAAGACAGAGGUGAAAUCCCUGGGCUCAACCUGGGAACUGCCUUUGUGACUGCAAAGGCUUGAGUGCGGCAGAGGGGGAUGGAAUUCCGCGUGUAGCAGUGAAAUGCGUAGAUAUGCGGAGGAACACCGAUGGCGAAGGCAAAUCCCCUGGGCCUGCACUGACGCUCAUGCACGAAAGCGUGGGGAGCAAAACAGGAUUAGAUACCCUGGUAGUCCACGCCCUAAAACGAUGUCAACUGGUUGUUGGGAAGGUUCCUUCUCAGUAACGUAGCUAACGCGUGAANUUGACCGCCUGGGGAGUACGGCCGCAAGGUUGAAACUU
rnacentral:rRNA from 1 species